GGCAAGAUGGCCGAGUGGUCUAAGGCGCUACGUUUAGGAUUCCAUCUUACCGUAGUCCGAAAGGGCGCGAGUUCGAACCUCGCUCUUGUCA